rnacentral:rRNA from 1 species
UAGGGAAUCUUCGGCAAUGGACGGAAGUCUGACCGAGCAACGCCGCGUGAGUGAAGAAGGUUUUCGGAUCGUAAAGCUCUGUUGUUAGAGAAGAAUGUUGGUAGGAGUGGAAAAUCUACCAAGUGACGGUAACUAACCAGAAAGGGACGGCUAACUACGUGCCAGCAGCCGCGGUAAUACGUAGGUCCCGAGCGUUUUCCGGAUUUAUUGGGCGUAAAGCGAGCGCAGGCGGUUCUUUAAGUCUGAAGUUAAAGGCAGUGGCUUAACCAUUGUACGCUUUGGAAACGGGAGGACUUGAGUGCAGAAUGGGAGAGUGGAAUUCCAGGUGUAGCGGUGAAAUGCGUAGAUAUAUGGAGGAACACCGGUGGCGAAAGCGGCUCUCUGGUCUGUAACUGACGCUGAGGGUCGAAAGCGUGGGGAGCAAACAGG